rnacentral:rRNA from 1 species
CCCUACGGGGUGCUAUAGGCUUGAUAACAGGCAAAUGAAGUAUCUGAAAGACAGAGGAUUUGAUCCCACUCAUCUUGAACACGAAUAUGGACUUAUGGGGACUGGCCCGUUGGGAUCAUUCAAACAUAGAAUAAUAAUACCAAUUCGGUAUGGGCAUAAAUUAGUAUCGUAUCUCGGCAGGGACUAUACCGGACAAUCUCCAUUACGUUACAAGGCGUGUGAAAGAAAAGAUGAAGUAAUUCAUCAUAAGCAUAUAUUUUAUAAUAUGGAUAACAUGAAUAAAGAUCAUGUUGUCAUAGUGGAAGGUUGCGUGGACGUGUGGCGCAUGGGCCGUGGGAGCAUUGCUACAUACGGCAAAGGAUGGACGAAACAGCAGAUAAACCUUCUCAUAGCUAAGAAAGUUAAAAAGACGACAUUAUUAUAUGAUGCAGAAGAAGAGGCCAAGAGAAGAGCCGAGGCACUAGGAAAUGAAUUGGCGGGAGGGC